GACAGAGGCCCCAAGCGUUAGGCGGAAUCACUGGGCUUAAAGCGUGUGUAGGCGGACGCCUAAGUGUCUUGUGAAACCCCACGGCUCACCCGUGGAACUGCUGGGCAUACUGGGCGUCUUGGGCCAACUAGGGGCAGCCGGAACAAGCGGUGGAGCGGUGAAAUGCGUAGAUAUCGCUUGGAACGCCGAAGGUGAAAACAGGCUGCUGGGGUUGUGCCGACGCUGAGACACGAAAGCCAGGGGAGCAAACGGG
rnacentral:rRNA from 1 species